rnacentral:rRNA from 1 species
GACGAACGCUGGCGGCGUGCUUAACACAUGCAAGUCGAACGGUAAGGCCCUUCGGGGUACACGAGUGGCGAACGGGUGAGUAACACGUGGGUGAUCUGCCCUGCACUUCGGGAUAAGCCUGGGAAACUGGGUCUAAUACCGGAUAGGACCACUGCCUGCAUGGGUGGUGGUGGAAAGCUUUUGCGGUGUGGGAUGGGCCCGCGGCCUAUCGGCUUGUUGGUGGGGUGAUGGCCUACCAAGGCGACGACGGGUAGCCGGCCUGAGAGGGUGACCGGCCACACUGGGACUGAGAUACGGCCCAGACUCCUACGGGAGGCAGCAGUGGGGAAUAUUGCACAAUGGGCGCAAGCCUGAUGCAGCGACGCCGCGUGAGGGAUGACGGCCUUCGGGUUGUAAACCUCUUUCAGCACCGACGAAGCGCAAGUGACGGUAGGUGCAGAAGUAGGACCGGCCAACUACGUGCCAGCCGCCGCAGUAACAC